rnacentral:rRNA from 1 species
GCUUGCUGGAUGCUGACGAGCGGCGGACGGGUGAGUAAUGCAUAGGAAUCUGCCCGAUAGUGGGGGAUAACCUGGGGAAACCCAGGCUAAUACCGCAUACGUCCUACGGGAGAAAGGGGGCUCCGGCUCCCGCUAUGGGAUGAGCCUAUGUCGGAUUAGCUAGUUGGUGAGGUAACGGCUCACCAAGGCCACGAUCCGUAGCUGGUCUGAGAGGAUGAUCAGCCACAUCGGGACUGAGACACGGCCCGAACUCCUACGGGAGGCAGCAGUGGGGAAUAUUGGACAAUGGGGGAAAGCCUGAUCCAGCCAUGCCGCGUGUGUGAAGAAGGCCCUCGGGUUGUAAAGCACUUUCAGCGAGGAAGAACGCCUAGCGGUUAAUACCCGCUAGGAAAGACAUCACUCGCAGAAGAAGCACCGGCUAACUCCGUGCCAGCAGCCGCGGUAAUACGGAGGGUGCAAGCGUUAAUCGGAAUUACUGGGCGUAAAGCGCGCGUAGGUGGCUUGAUAAGCCGGUUGUGAAAGCCCCGGGCUCAACCUGGGAACGGCAUCCGGAACUGUCAAGCUAGAGUGCAGGAGAGGAAAGGUAGAAUUCCCGGUGUAGCGGUGAAAUGCGUAGAGAUCGGGAGGAAUACCAGUGGCGA